rnacentral:rRNA from 1 species
ACCUGCGGAAGGAUCAUUGUCGUGACCCUAACCAAAGUAGACUGUGAACAUGUCAUCAAUUCCACCGGGUGAUGGCCAUAGUGUCGUCUCCUGGCAUGGGCCUCUAUCCUUCUUAUGACGGGUGUGGUCCACAAAAGAACCCACGACGUCGGAUGACGUCAAGGAACACUUUUAUUUAUUGCUUGCACAAUGGUGUGAACUUCUUGUUUGAUACACCUUGUGCUGUGAUGCUACCUUAAUCCACAAGACUCUCGGCAACGGAUAUCUUGGCUCUCACAUCGAUGAAGAACGUAGCAAAAUGCGAUACCUGGUGUGAAUUGCAGAAUCCCGUGAACCAUCGAGUUUUUGAACGCAAGUUGCGCCUGAGGCCACUUGGUCGAGGGCACGUCUGCCUGGGCGUCACGCGAAAAGACACUCCCCCACCCUUCAUGGAGCGGGAUGUGGUGUUUGGCCUUCCGUGUCAUGUGAAUGGUUCGGUGGACUAAAGUAUAGGCUGCUAGCUAUGGGGCUGGUCAUAGCACUUGGUGGAUGACAAAUGUUGUUCUCGGAGUUGUGACAUGUAUUGCUUCUAGCAAUAGUAUGGCUGUUAUGACCCAUGCAUCGGAGCUUUGAUUGCUUCAACCAUGACCCCAGGUCAGUCGGGACUACCCGCUGAAUUUAAGCAUAUCAAUAAG